rnacentral:rRNA from 1 species
AGAGUUUGAUCCUGGCUCAGGAUGAACGCUGGCGGCGUGCUUAACACAUGCAAGUCGAACGAAGCAUUUGCGACAGAUUUUUUCGGAAUGAAGUUGCUUAUGACUGAGUGGCGGACGGGUGAGUAACGCGUGGGUAACCUGCCUUGUACUGGGGGAUAGCAGCUGGAAACGGCUGGUAAUACCGCAUAAGCGCACAAUGUUGCAUGACAUGGUGUGAAAAACUCCGGUGGUAUAAGAUGGACCCGCGUCUGAUUAGCUAGUUGGUGAGAUAACAGCCCACCAAGGCGACGAUCAGUAGCCGACCUGAGAGGGUGACCGGCCACAUUGGGACUGAGACACGGCCCAAACUCCUACGGGAGGCAGCAGUGGGGAAUAUUGCACAAUGGGGGAAACCCUGAUGCAGCGACGCCGCGUGAGUGAAGAAGUAUUUCGGUAUGUAAAGCUCUAUCAGCAGGGAAGAAAAUGACGGUACCUGACUAAGAAGCCCCGGCUAACUACGUGCCAGCAGCCGCGGUAAUACGUAGGGGGCAAGCGUUAUCCGGAUUUACUGGGUGUAAAGGGAGCGUAGACGGAAGUGCAAGUCAGAAGUGAAAGCCCGGGGCUUAACCCCGGGACUGCUUUUGAAACUGUGCAUCUAGAGUGCAGGAGAGGUAAGCGGAAUUCCUAGUGUAGCGGUGAAAUGCGUAGAUAUUAGGAGGAACACCAGUGGCGAAGGCGGCUUACUGGACGGUAACUGACGCUGAGGCUCGAAAGCGUGGGGAGCAAACAGGAUUAGAUACCCUGGUAGUCCACGCCGUAAACG